rnacentral:rRNA from 1 species
UACGGGGGGGGCAAGCGUUGUUCGGAAUUACUGGGCGUAAAGGGCUCGUAGGCGGCCAACUAAGUCGGAUGUGAAAUCCCCAAGCUUAACUUGGGAACUGCAUCCGAUACUGGAUGGCUUGAAUCCGGGAGAGGGAUGCAGAAUUCCAGGUGUAGCGGUGAAAUGCGUAGAUAUCUGGAGGAAUACCGGUGGCGAAGGCGGCAUCCUGGACCGGCAUUGACGCUGAUGUGCGAAAGCGUGGGGAGCAAACAGG